AACAUUUCACUUCUCCCUUUGGUUGGGGACUGACAUGUUUCAGAGAUGGGUUACCCCCAACAGGCCACAUAACUUCCCAGCAGAGGCAGCUGGUACCAAGAAGCUUUGGCCUAUAAAAGGAAGCAGGGCCACAGAGGAGGAUGGCAGCAGACAGCAGAGCUUUUGGACAGGUUUGUGGAAGCAGUGGAAGAGUUGGGCUUAACACUGGAACAAGAUCUGCCCAGAAAGACUUACAGAAAAGCAUCCCAGGACCCUCGUGCUCACCCUAAGAGGAGAAGGGGUAUGAACUCUUCGGUGACCCUGUGCCUGUGAUGAAACCCAAAACCUGUCAAGUUUCAUGUGGUCUCCAAUUUCCUCACGGAAGUUUCAAAGUGCUCGUGUUACAUUACCUUGUUUUCAGAAGUACUUUUCGUGAAACUUCACAAAUUCUGCUCCUUAAUCCCCUUUAAAUGAGGCUCUUGUGACUUCUAAGAUCUCCCUGAAAGCUUUGCUAUUUCUGUUAUUAUUGCUGGCACACGGGAGGCUCAUUACUACCCAGAGCUGCUGGAAUAGGUUUCAGGGUGAGAGGGGGCAUGAAGGAAGCUCUUAGGCUGUCUCUCAUCACUCCAGUAUGCAGGAGCUGUCACAGAACAGCAGCUGAAAGCUGCAUGACCCUUCUGCAAAAAUAACCCAGCCAACGGAAGCUGAGAAAUGAAGGGGUAGGAACCAGAUAUUGAGAAAGAAAAAAAAAAAAAAGAGAGAUUUUUUCUUUUGUCAAAUAGAGCAAACUGCACCAUUUUGGUCAGAGUCACAUCUGGAAUAGCAAUUUCCAGCAAAAGAUAAGAUAAAGGGGGGUUGGCAGGAUGGGGAAUCCUGCAGGCAGGAGAGGGGUAGUAGUGCAGAGAGGUACCAACUCAGGGUCCUUUUGAUUAGAACUUGCUUCUAUCAGCAACACAGAUUUUGUGUAUGCUCAAACCAUGGAAGUAAUCAAGUCGUAUGUUGGCCAGGAUGAAAGGCUCUGUGCUGCACAAUGCCAUUACCUCUGUAUUUAUGUGGGAGUGGAGAGCAAAGAAAAAAUGUAAUGAGAAAGUCUGGUUUCAU
rnacentral:lncRNA from 7 species